GUGGGGAAUCUUGCGCAAUGGGCGAAAGCCUGACGCAGCCAUGCCGCGUGAAUGAUGAAGGUCUUAGGAUUGUAAAAUUCUUUCACAGGGGACGAUAAUGACGGUACCCGGAGAAGAAGCUCCGGCUAACUUCGUGCCAGCAGCCGCGGUAAUACGAAGGGGGCUAGCGUUGCUCGGAAUUACUGGGCGUAAAGGGCGCGUAGGCGGACAGCUUAGUCAGAGGUGAAAGCCCAGGGCUCAACCUUGGAAUUGCCUUUGAUACUGGCUGUCUUGAGUUUGGGAGAGGUGAGUGGAACUCCGAGUGUAGAGGUGAAAUUCGUAGAUAUUCGGAAGAACACCAGUGGCGAAGGCGACUCACUGGCCCAAUACUGACGCUGAGGCGCGAAAGCGUGGGGAGCAAACAGGAUUAGAUACCCGAGUAGUCC
rnacentral:rRNA from 1 species